UGCCAGCCGCCGCGGUAAUACGGGGGCGCAAGCGUUAUUCGGAAUUAUUGGGCGUAAAGGGCGCGCAGGCGGUCUUGUCCGUCAGGUGUGAAAGCUCGGGGCUCAACCCCGGAAGUGCACUUGAAACAGCAAGACUUGAAUACGGGAGAGGAAAGUGGAAUUCCGAGUGUAGGGGUGAAAUCCGUAGAUAUUCGGAGGAACACCAGUGGCGAAGGCGGCUUUCUGGACCGAUACUGACGCUGAGACGCGAAAGCGUGGGGAGCAAACAGGAUUAGAUA
rnacentral:rRNA from 1 species